rnacentral:rRNA from 1 species
UCCACGCUGUAAACUAUGAGAACUCGGUGUAGGAGGAAUCGACCCCUUCUGUGCCUUAGCUAACGCGUUAAGUUCUCCGCCUGGGUAGUACGGUCGCAAGACUAAAACUCAAAGGAAUAGACGGGGACCCACACAAGCGGUGGAGCAUGUGGUUCAAUUCGACGGUAAACGAGGAACCUUACCUAGGUUUGACAUCUCGGGAACCCUGAGGAAACUUGGGGGUGCCGUAAGGAACCCGAAGACAGGUGCUGCAUGGUUGUCGUCAGCUCGUGCCUUGAGGUGUUUGGUUCAGUCCAUAAACGAGCGCAACCCUCGUCCUGUGUUGUAUAUUUCGCAGGAGACUGCCGGCGCAAAGUCGGAGGAAGGUGAGGACGACGUCAAAUCAGCAUGGCCCUUAUACCUAGGGCUACACACGUGCUACA